GGGCUGGAGCAGCCGGGGCGGAAGCCGGGGAACAAAGGGCAGAGACGCGGGGCAGCCCCCGGGCGGGGCCGUACGAGCCGCUGCUCCCCGGGGGUCCGUGCUGGCGGGGGGGGGAUUAACCCCUCCCUGCCCGGCGGGGGGGGGGUCUCCAGCUGGGACCAGCGGCUGCAGUUCAUCCCAGCCUCCCUUGGGACAGGACAGGGAAAUGGCUGAGAUGGAGCCCGUUCAGGGGCCGGUGAGCUUCGAGGAGGUGGCUGUGUAUUUCACCAG